GGAAACAAUUUUCCGAAAUAGUGACAAAAAAUAUCAAUGCUAGGUACUAUGUAUUUAGUAAUUGGAAUGAGUACAAUUUAAAUCCCUUAACAAGUAACAAUUAGAGGGCAAGUCUGGUGCCAGCAGCCGCGGUAAUUCCAGCUCUAAUAGCGUAUAUUAAUAUUGUUGCAGUUAAAAAGCUCGUAGUUGAAAUUUGGAACUUUAUUGUAUUGGUUUGUCUUUUGAUGAACUGUAUGAUGGGUUUCUUCCUACUAGAGUUCGAUUCUGUUCUUAACUGAAUGGAGUAGCUAUCUUUCGGGGUGGUCAAUUGGUUGUUAUAUCUCCACUAAUAAGCAGAGAGGGGUUAAACCUUUGAAGUAAGUUAUGUGGGUCAAGGUAUGGUGAUUAAUUGGAGUUCUAGUUCAUUUACUUUGAGAAAAUUAGAGUGUUUAAAGCAGCCUCUUGGGGCACUGAAUACAUUAGCAUGGGAUAAUAAAAUAGGAUCUUCACAAUAUAUUUUAUUGGUUUAAAUUGGAUAUGAAGAUAAUGAUUAAUA
rnacentral:rRNA from 1 species